CCUUCUUUGUGGGGAGGAAGAUGAUUUUCCAUGAAAGGAUAGACAGACUGGCGCUGAUGGGAAUGAGUGCUGGAUGAACAGAGAACUAAGGAAGUGUGGGAGAUCCUGAAAGAACUCAGCAGGAUGAGUCUGUGCGCCUUCUUUGAGAAGCGAGACCCAAAUGAUUUCCCACUGGAAGAAUAACCCUCUGGUCCUCAGGAGGAGCCGAUGACACAUAGACUGCUGCCAGCUCUUCUGACCACGUUCUUGGCCUUGGAUUUGCCAUUCCCAAGGCAGCAGUUCUGAGAGCUGUUCUAGCUCGGGAGAACGUCAGCUUUCUCUUAAAGAAAAGGCCAGCUUCCUACCUCUCCACUUGGAAAUGCACAGUCACCACUUCUGAGGGUGACUGGGUGUUACUGGCUGGAAGCCCAGUUUAGAGCCUGUCAGAUCCUGCUCUCCAGGCCAUGGAUUGAAGGCAAGAGUCCUUCAGGCUCUCCUCUCUAUCCUGAAAAUCCCUUCUCUGAAUACCUCCCCAGACCAGGGAAGA